rnacentral:lncRNA from 1 species
UUAAACUUUUUUUUUUUACUUAUUCCCCUAUUCCAUACAAUUAUAUUAUAAUAGAAAUAAAAGAUCUUUGCCUUUAAAGUUAGAGUAGAAGCAGGACCUGGCAUAGGCUUCUACCAAAGGCUUUCUUUUUUUUGCAAUCUGAAUUUUUCCCUUUCUCUAUGCAUGAUCUUCUGAGAUAGUCUACACAGAUGUCUUAUGUGGCCUUAUACCUUAGACAAAUGAAAAAUUCUUCCUUUUGGGAAGGCAAAUUUGCUUCUAUAACUUUUUCUCCUCUGCUUUUGUGAGUAUGAGAGAGUUUCUCUACUACAAGACUGUAGGAUAAAAGUUGGUAUAACAAAAAUAAAGAUUGAAAAGAUAAAAUGACAACCAAAAAACAAUGACAAAAUUGGAAUUCAGGAAUAAUCUUCACUUUGGCAAUAUGGCUAAAUAUAACUUGGGUUAGGGAUCUCUUGGGUUAGGAAUCUUUUUGUGUGAUAUAUUAUUUUGAAUUUAUAGAGCAUUGGUUUUUAACAAGUUUUUAUCAUUUUUAACAGGUUUUUAUCAUUUAAAAGGUGACUAGGGCAAUGGGAUUACCUCUGAUAUCAGAGAGUUGGCAAUCAUGUAACCCUGAAAGUCAUGGCACAAUAUGGCAGAACAAGCACGUCUGGGGCCUGGGAGUCCUGAGCUAAGGCAAAGGCUUUUUCUUGGCCUCCACUCAGCAAUAUGCAAAAAGCUGAAGCUUUUAAAGUGGGAGAAGAAACAGAAGGAACAGAGGAGGUAAUUGAGAAUUAGUCACAUUUGUUAUUUUUAGCACUGCCUGAUUUUGUCUGGAAAUGGAAGUGAAACUAUAAAAACAGGUAAAGAAAAACAAUUUAAAGUCUUUAAAAAUAUUUUAAAAAUCAGAAUUCUUGGUUCAGUUAACUACAAAAUACUCGGAGACUUGGAAAAAGAUUGUUUUAAGAUACAAAUUAAGUGACAUUUUUGGAGUUGAUUAUUCUGGUUCAUUUAGAUAACUAAAAUUGGGCUGACUCACUGAAAAGAGCUACUUGCCACACAUCCUCAAUUAAGUGCAUUGUUAUUAAGAAGAGAGUUGGGGACACUCAUUUCAUUCAUUUUACUACCAAUGCUUGAUUUUGAGGAUGAUACUUUUGAAGCUUUGGGAUACUUAUUUUUCCCCUUUAACCCUGAAAUUUUACCCAUUAACACAAACUGUGUUUUUCAGGAUAAGCGCAUUUAAAAAUGUAUUCAGUAGGCUUUUAAAGUUUAGGGUUUUUUUUUUUUUUUUUUUAAAGAGGGAGCUUUAUAUUCACAGAUAUCCUCAAAAUGAAAAGUAGAGCUUCUAAAGCUAUUUCUUUGUAAGGAUUUAAAUUCAUUCACAGGCUGUUAAUUUGAAGGGUAUUUGAAGUUUAAAUUAUAAUGCAUCAGUCAUCCUUGAAAACCCAGGCAAUCAAUAUACACAAAUACAGAAUUCUGUAAACAUUAUUUUUGUCCACAGUUCAUUUAUACAUGCUUAUAGAAAUUACUCAUGCUAAACUGCAAUUUAUCAAAUCGCUGACAACAAAACAAAUCACCCUGUCAUAUUAUACUUAAAAUGUCAAUGUUUAAUACUAACUUCUUUCUACAUAAAGAUAUGACAUUUGAUUGCAAGUACUUAGUGAUACCAGGCAUAGUGAGAAGGAAAAGUGUUUCAUCUUAAGAAUCACUAUGCCAGUUAACAAAUAUACACAUAAUAAAUUACUAUUUCCUACAUUAAAAUGAUCUUCCAACAUGCUGAGAAAUUUAACACAUCUACCAAGUGGAAGUUGUUCAUAUAUCACCAUAGAGAUCAGAAUCAUCGCCUUUAGGUACACAUACUUAAAAUAAUCGCAAAGCCGUAUGCUCCCAUUAUAGAUCUCUUUCGCUUUUUACACAAAUGCAUUAACCAUGGGGCAAUCCUCUAUCAUUGAAAAUAGGUAGGAAGCACUUCUGAAUAAAUUACUUAAGAAUAAUGUGUAUUACACAUAGGCAUUCAUAGGAAUUUACAAAUGAUUUGGCAAUGUAUUUCAGGGAACUAAAUGCUAAAAUUUUGUCCAUUCUGUUAAAUUUUUAUUUUAAGAUUAGUUUUGUUUCUAUUUUCCAUUAUCUUUUUAUCAUAAAGUUAUUCAGAUCCUUCAGAGCACAGAGAAAAUUUUCAUAAUUGAAAUGGAAAAGUUAUUCCUUUGGAUGCAAAACAUGGAAAAUAAUCUGAUUACAUUAAUAACUUAAAAUGUUUAAUAACUGAUAAUUGUAAAAAGGUAAUGUUUAUAAUUAAUGCGAUAUUCUUGGGGGUUAUAAAUGUCUUAGGAAUAAAAUUUGGAGCAGGUAGAGGUGUAUUUUGCAAAUGAAUCACAAUGGAGCAGAGAAUCGAUUUUAAAUUUAAAGAGCCUUCAUUUGCCUUUUAAAAUAUCAACAGAGAGUCAACUGCUUUACCUUAUUCUUUCAUUUGUAUUCCUACCUAGUUCCACAGCCUCAGCUUUUUCUAGCACUUCAAUGUGAGACUCCCUCAUAUUCCCAAAUGAGUAUAGAAGGAUAGGGCAUAUUUAGAGAGGCAUGGAGUUUUCAUGAAGUAGGAGCUGUUUAUAACUUUCUUCCUAAAAAUAAAAAGUGGGUUCUCACUCAUGAAUAUUAGACUCCCUUUUAUAGAAAAAGUUUUGCAAACUUAUUCAGGACAGAUGUUCGGACAGAUACCAGUUUGCCUCUGAAGAAAAUAGGGCAGUUUAAAGUGGGUAUGUUCUUCAAAAUUGCAAGACAAUCACGAUCCUCUUAUUUGCAAUUCUUCCUAACCCCAAUUCCCAUAACUCCUGAACCUACAAAUGUUUUCAUUAUUUCUUUGACCUCAAUCAUUUCUUUCUCUUUGAUUUUUACAUCCCCUCUGAACUGUCAUUGGAUAGUUGAUUACCGUUUAUUUUUACUUUGAAAUUUUAAAUUUUCCUCAGUGCUUCAACCAUUUGAGUGCAAACAUCCACUUUUCAUUUGAAAAAUCACAGGACUUAUUGCUCUUUGAAGAAUCACUAAGUCAUAAAAAAAGCUUCAUUUCUAGGAUAUAUGUAAAAUUAUGACAAUAGCUGACAUGGUAAUAAAAAGACCCUGUGGCAUCUUCUGGUUUCUUCUUACUUUUCUCUUUCUUAUGAUUGAUUCUAGGAAGAAACAUUGUGCAUUGAACUUCAAAGCUGAGAUAUGAGACUCUAGCUUACUUCUAAGAAAUGCUUGAUUUCAUACAAAACAGUAGUUAUUUCUUUUCCUGGAAUCUUCGAGAUUCUCUCCUCAUUCAGGCUUGGUAUACAAUCACUUGUUCAGUGAGCCUUCUUCAACCCCAAUCCAAUCAACUCCCAGGCCCUGUCUUUCAUUUUGUCCUUAUCGCUAUCAUUACCUUUUAUUACUCACUAUUUGUUAAUUUGUUUCUUUACCUUUUUUGUCCAUUGGAACACAAGAUUUAUAACCAGAGGCAUCAUUUCUUUCUUGUUCGUUACUGCAAAGAACAAAACCCGCACAAAGAAGACUCUCAGGAAAUGCUGGCUGAAUGACAGAAUGAACAUUGAUAAAUGAAGACUUCUUCAAAUAACUGAUGCUAGACAUCUCUAAAUAUAUCAGAAAUAACAUGUGACCAUGACAUCAUUCAUCAUUUUUCCAUCAAAACAUUUGAAAAUAACUUGGAUUCAUUUAUUAGAGCUUUAUUUUCCCACAUCUUGCAGUACCCUAGAGUUCUACAGUAAUUAACCUUAUGCUGAAUGGCAGAGGACAUGCACUAAGCUCCUAUUUAAAAUCUAUUCAUGAUGCAUUUUAAAUAUUCAGUAGAGACUUCUUAAACAUGCAGCCAUAGUCUAUUGAAAAUGGAUUUCCUAAAGCCAGGAGAUUGGAUAUUAAUAUCUGGCAUUCGUAUAAAGACAGGUUUUUGUUAACCUAUUAUAAAAAGGACUGAUGAUGUGAUUAUAUACUGUUUACUAGCUCACUUAUAUUUCUGUGCUAAUAAUUACUGUAACCCAUUUGUUUAGUUUUUUUAUUUUA